CCCGGAUGUUGUGGGGGGGAUCAUUGAGGAAGCGGAGCGGAGAGGCGGACUGUGAUGGCGACCAACAUCGAGCAGAUAUUCCGGGAUUUUGUGAUGAAUAAAAUAAAGCAGAUCGAGGAUGAGAGUCAGGAUAAGAGUCAAAGUGGCCAAGCUGCUUCUAAUGAUGCAGAGUCUCCCUGUGAGAUGGGAACAGGAAUAAAUAACAAAGCACCUCCUGCUGAAACAUGCAGUAAAACAACAGAUAAACUCACAAAUCCCUGCUCCCAGGAGAACAGUGCCAAAGAGGAAUCCAGCGCUAAACACAAGAAAAGCAAAAAGCACAAAAAACACAAAAGCAAAAAGAAGAAAAAGAAACGCAAGGAGGAGAAGGAGAGCAGCUCAGAGUCUGAAUCAGACCUAGAAAAUCAAGGAAGUGUAAAGAAGAAGAAGAAAAAGAAAAAGAAGAAACAUAAGGAAAGUGACAAAGAAAAAAAGUCUCGCUCGCGUUCUGGGAGCUCUUCUGCAUCUGAAUCAGAGUCUGAGUAUGAACCUAAACCUUCAAGUGAGACCACCAAGUCUGAACUUGGAAAUGGAAGUCAUUUCAAGGUUUCUCAAGAUUUACCUGACAUUAUUCCAAAGCUUGAAACCACAGCUGAUAAGAACAAAGGGAGCGAACGAGACAGCGAAAGAAAACAAAGCUCCAGUUGUUCUAAAACCUCCAAACAGGAGAAAAAGACAGAAAGAAACCGGCGCUCCCGUUCUAGAUCAAGCAAAAGAAAAUCAAGACACAGGUCUAGAUCCUGGUCGCCCAGACGAUCCCAGAGGAGAUCAAAGUCAAAGUCUCGUUCCAGGAAGAGUCCCAAAAGGAAGUCUCCACAGCAUAGACGGCGAAGUAGAUCCAGGUCAGGAUCACAAAGACGCAGCAGCAGACGGUCCAGAUCUCGCUCAGCCAAAAGAAGCAGACAUUCAAGGUCCAGAUCAAGGUCUAGGUCUAAGCGAAGUAGAUCAAGGCAAACCAAAACUGCCUUAAAGAAGAGCAGGAGAUCUCGGUCAAAAUCUAGAUCAGCUUCAGAUCAUCGAUCAGGGAAUUCAAAGUCUAGAUCUCAAACACAGGCUAGACGUAGUACGUCAAGGUCUCGGUCAAAGUCUAGGUCUUCUUCGAAAGAUAAAUCAACAAAGAGCGAGAUGCAAAAGAAAGACAUUGUUCCAGAAUUAAAGAGUAAGAUUAGCUCUGAAAUAGAAACUGAAAAAGAAAGCAUUGAUAAAGAUCAAAGCCAGACACUACUGUUAAACUCCAUGUUAAAGACUAUAAAGGAUGUUAAAGAUGCCACUAUCAGUGACGGACAGGUUAAGGGAUCAUGGCGACCAGUUCCUUUCUUGGAUGUCAGCUCUUCUGCUACUGUUCUAACUUCUUCGUCUUCUGAGACAAAGCCUUUACUGAAGUGCAUUACACCUGAGCUGCCUUUCAAUGUAAAGGAUAUUUCUGCACAUACCUCAGAUAAGGCUAUUAAGUUGGAGUCUGUCCUCAAAACUGAAAAACAAGAAGAAAUUACCAGUACAGAAUUAAAAGGUUCACAAGUUAAACAUUCCAAGUCUCGUUCAGAGUCCUCCUCACCAUCUCCUCAAAGGAGCUCAAAAUCUGCCUCAAGAAAACGGUCCAGUUCCAGAUCUCCAGUAAAACGAAGGCGUUCCAGGUCGUCCUCCAGGAACAGCAAGACAAAAUCAAAGUCAUCUCCUUCACGAAGGAAAAGAUCUAAGUCUAGAACGCGGGGUAGGCAUUCCAAAUCCAAGUCGCCAAAAAGCAAACGAUCGAAGUCCCGUUCACCAGAUCGAAGGAAGCGGUCCCGGUCCCCAGACAGGAGGUCAAGAUCGAGACGCAGAUCACGCUCUCGGUCACGGAGAUCUAGAUCUAGAUCCCGGCGAAGAGGAGGAGGAGGUUUCAGGAACCGAAUGUUUAGUCAGCGCGAUCGGUGGAAGCGAGAACCGAGCCACUCUCCUGUUCUCAUCCUGCGGAAGAAAAGAUCGACUUCUCGAACUUGUCGCAGCACCAGCAAGACACCACCACGCCUUACUGAGCUCGAUAAAGACCAGUUGCUGGAAAUUGCCAAGGCCAAUGCGGCGGCCAUGUGUGCCAAGGCUGGGAUGCCUAUUCCAGAAAGCCUGAGGCCCAGAACCAUCCUUCAGCUGCCAUUGCCAAGUCCAAACCCCACACCCCUGUCCUUACCCCUGCCGCUGCCCGUUAAUCUCCCCAUGUCUAACAUGACCAUGAAUGCUGCUAUGGCUAGCAUGACUGCUGCCACCAUGACUGCUGCUCUGUCCAGCAUGGGAGCUCUUGCUAACAUGCCACAGUUGGCCCCGUUGCCCACAAUCACCAACAAGCCUCCACCUUCGGCCACACCGAACCUGGCUUCUAUUGAGGAAGCUAAGAGAAAAGUGACUAAGCAGGCCAACAGCUACAGUAUUAAAGAGCUCACAGAGAAAUGCAAGAAGAUUGCAGAGAGUAAAGAGGAGAUGGCCAUCGCUAAGCCACAUGUGUCGGAUGAUGAAGAAGAUGAAAAGCCUUUUGGAGGAGUUGCCCUUAAGGAGAAAGGGGGCAUCACUUUCAGUCUCUGUAACCCCUCAGUGAAGCCAGCAGUGAGAUCAGAGGCUGCCUUCGCCAAGGAGUUCCCAGUAUCUUCAGGUUCCCAGCACCGCAAGAAGGAGGGAGAUGGGGCGUACGGGGAAUGGGUUCCGGUGGACAAGAAGAUUGAUAAGGCGGGGUCUUCUUCAGGAUCUGCUGGGGCUGAAGAUCAGAGUAAGGAUAAUGAUAGUGUCUUUCCAGAGGCACCAUCACAGCCGGUGGACAUUACCCUGGCUGUCAGUGAAAGGGCAGUGGCCCAGAAGAGACUGGCAGAGAACCCUUUCGACAUCAACGCCAUGUGUAUGCUGAAUCGUGCUCAGGAGCAGGUGGAUGCUUGGGCCCAGUCUAACACAAUCCCUGGUCUUUUCACUGGCUCCACCGGUGCUCAGGUGCUUUCAUCUGAAGAGCUGUCCAACAGUGGCCCACAGGCUUGGAUCAAGAAGCAGGUGCAAUGCAGGAGGGGAGGUUGACUAUAGUCUACUUAGAAAAUCUUCUUUGAAAGAGGGGAUGAAGGAAGAGGACUUGAAGUCUCCUGGCAACCUCCUCUUGGUUGAGAAUGGAAACUCAAAAUGGGGUCAGUCCUUGUAGCUGCCUUGUUGCCAUGGUCACUGUCAGGCCCCUUCUAUUCUCGUCAGAUGCAGAGCGGAUGAUGGGGGCCUAGGUACGUACGUCAUCCAGCACCCUCUUUCUAUUCAUGUGGAUUUUGUGUCCGCUCUGAUAAACGCUUUCUGCCAUGCUCUUCUGUGUGUUUCAGCUGAACCAAGGGUAUUGAUACCUUGGCAAAGGUGGUAUUUUGAUGCCUUAUCAAUGGAAAACUGUAUAAUUUUUAGUAUAGACAUAAUUUUAAAAAUACUGAUCUUUUUUCCACAUACUUUACUAUAAUUAUAAACUGUUCAAGCAUAACAUUAUGACCACCUCUUUUAUUUUAUUUUAUAACCUAUUCAUUUAACCUUUUCAUUUUAUAACCUAUCCUCCACUGUUCAUAUUGGACAACAUGUAGUUCUAUUAUAAUUACUGACUGUAUUCCUGUAUAUGUUUCUCUGCAUGCUUUAUUAUCCUCCUCCUUUCACCCUGUUCUUCAAUACUCAGGACCCCACAGCUAUUAUUUUUUGGGUGGUGGGUCGUUAUUCUCAGCACUGGAGUGGCACUGACACAGCAGUGCUGCUGGAGUUCUUGAACAGUGUCACUACUGGCUGAGAAUAGCUCCCCAACAGUGUCUUGUGGGCAGUGAUUAAGAACUAGAGAAUUGAGAACAUUAAGAACUUAUGAUCAAAACUGUAAAAUGUGCAGCAGCAGAUUCAGAUCUUCUGUCUCGGAUUUUACUUUAUCUACAAGGUGUUUCAGCUGUAGGUAGGAGUGUGUAAUAGUGUGGAGGACAGAGAGAGAGAUUAAACACAGUAUUUUUUGGGAUUCUGAGUUUUGAAGAACAGGGUAAAAGGAGGAUAAUAAUAAAGUAUGUAGAGAAACAUAAAGACUGUAAAGUGAAACUAUAUGAAAAACCAGGAGUUGGUCAUAAUGUUAUGCUUGUUCCGUGUACAACUACUUGUUUCAUAGUACUUUUAUCAUUUUAGUUUAUAUUUAUUUGUGCAAUUAAACAAUGCACAAUAUACUUCCUACACUACGUAUCUACUUAUAGUAUUAUCUACUGAGAAAUUAUAUCUAGGGUAUUAAACAAUUAUAUUUCCUGUUU